rnacentral:rRNA from 1 species
CAUAUCAAUAAGCGGAGGAAAAGAAACCAACAGGGAUUGCCUUAGUAGCGGCGAGUGAAGCGGCAAAAGCUCAAAUUUGAAAUCUGGUACCUUUGGUGCCCGAGUUGUAAUUUGAAGAAAGCUAUCUUGGAUUUGGCCUUUGUCUAUGUUCCUUGGAACAGGACGUCAUAGAGGGUGAGAAUCCCGUCUGAUGAGGUGUCCAUUUCUAUGUAAGAUGCUUUCGAAGAGUCGAGUUGUUUGGGAAUGCAGCUCUAAGUGGGUGGUAAAUUCCAUCUAAAGCUAAAUAUUGGCGAGAGACCGAUAGCGAACAAGUACUGUGAAGGAAAGAUGAAAAGAACUUUGAAAAGAGAGUGAAAAAGUACGUGAAAUUGUUGAAAGGGAAGGGUAUUUGAUCAGACUUGGUAUUUAGUUAUCAUUGCUCCUUGUGGGUGGUGCUCUAGCUUUUUACUGGGCCAGCAUCAGUUUUGGUGGCAAGAUAAUGACGGUUGAAUGUGGCUCCUUUGGAGUGUUAUAGCUUCUGUUGAUAUUGCCUACCGGGACUGAGGUCUGCGGCUUUUGCCUAGGAUGCUGGCGUAAUGAUCCAAUACCGCCCGUCUUGA